UAAAGGGAAUUUGGUUCAAGGGAUAGGGUUGUUUAGUGGGGGUCUGGUGAUUUAAAGGUUGAGGAACUGCCUUUUCGGAGGGGGACAACAUUUGGAAAGGACUGCUAAUACGGCAUGUUACUUUGUUGGGGCAUCCCGAUGAUUUCAAAGUUUUAUCGUUGAAUGAUGGCCUUGGGUGUGAUUAGAUACUUCGCGGGGUAACGGCCCAGCAGGUCGACGAUCAGUAUCCGGCCUGAGAGGUUGACCGGCCACUUUGGGAUUGUGAUACGGCCCAGACUCAUACGGGAGGCUGCAGUGGGGAAUACUGGGCAAUGGACGCAAGUGUGACCCAGCAACGCCGCGUGAAGGAUGAAGGCUUUCGGGUUGUAAACUUCUUUUAUGUGGGAACAGCAGAAGAGGGUACCUUUUGAAGAAGCUCCGGCUAAUUACGUGCCAGCAGCCGCGGUAAUACGUAGGGAGCGAGCGUUAUCCGGAUUCAUUGGGUGUAAAGCGAGCGUAGGCGGAUGCCUAAGCGGGACCUGUAACCCGGGGGCUCAACCUCCGGCCGGGUCCCGAACUGGGUGUCUUGAGUGCGGUAGGGGCAGGUGGAAUUUCAUGUGUAGCGGUGGAAUGCGCAGAUAUUUGGAAGAACAUCGACGGCGAAGGCAGCCUGAUGGGCUGACACUGACGGUGAGGUGUGAAAGCGCGGGGAGUGAACAGGAUUAGAUACCCUGGUAGUUCGCGCCGUAAACGAUGGACGAUAGGUGUGGGGGAGCGCUUCCCCCGUGCCGAAGCCAACGCA
rnacentral:rRNA from 1 species